CUCAAAGAUUAAGCCAUGCAUGUACAAGUACAGACGACUUGGUCGUGAAACCGCGAACGGCUCAUUAUAACAGCUUCAAUCCACUUGAUCUGGACAACGCUACUCGGAUAACUGUGGCAAAUCUAGAGCUAAUACGUGCACCGAAGCCCCUGCGGGGGCGCAUUUGCUCGAAGAAGAUCAUGGACGGCCCCCGGGCCGUCGGCGGUUGACUCAGAGCAACUCAGCUGAUCGCACGGUCUCGCACCGGCGACGUGUCUUUCGAGUGUCUGCCUUAUCAACUGGUUGGUAGCGUAAGUGACUACCAGGGUGGUGACGGGUAACGGAGGAUCAGGGUUCGACUCCGGAGAAGGGGCCUGAGAAAUGGCCACUACGUCUAAGGAUGGCAGCAGGCGCGCAAAUUACCCACUCUCGGCACGAGGAGGUAGUGACGAAAAAUAACGACGCGUCCCCUAGGGUUGCGAUCGGAAUGGGUGGAAUCUAAACCCUUUGACGAGUAUCUAUGGGAGGGCAAGUCUGGUGCCAGCAGCCGCGGUAAUUCCAGCUCCCAAAAUGCAUAGAACCAUUGCUGCGGUUAAAAAGCUCGUAGUUGGAUUUGUGCGCGGCGCGCGGUCCUCCGCUCCGGCGGUUGCACCGGGCGGCGCGCUUCGGUCGGUGGCCGUUCGCGGCGACUGGCGAGUUUACCUUGAACAAAUCAAAGUGCUCAAGACGGGCGACAGCCUGAAUGCUCCAGCAUGGAAUAAUAGAAGAGGAUUUCGGUCCGCUUUUGUUGGUUUACGGCCGAGAUAAUGAUCAAUAGGGGCGGACGGGGGCAUUCGUACUCCUGCGUGAGAGGUGAAAUUCUUGGACCGCAGCGAGACGCACGACAGCGAAAGCAUUUGCCAAGCAUGUCUUCAUUAAUCAAGAACGAAAGUCAGAGGUUCGAAGGCGAUCAGAUACCGCCCUAGUUCUGACCGUAAACGAUGCCAACUAGCGAUCCGCCGGCGGAUUUCUCGCCCUGGUGGGGAGCUUCCCGGAAACGAAAGUCUUCCGGUUCCGGGGGAAGUAUGGUUGCAAAGCUGAAACUUAAAGGAAUUGACGGAAGGGCACCACCAGGAGUGGAGCCUGCGGCUUAAUUUGACUCAACACGGGGAAACUCACCCGGCCCGGACACCGCGAGGAUUGACAGAUUGAGAGCUCUUUCAUGAUUCGGUGGAUGGUGGUGCAUGGCCGUUCUUAGUUCGUGGAGCGAUUUGUCUGGUUUAUUCCGAUAACGAGCGAGACUCUAGCCUGCUAAAUAGUCCGGGCAUUGCCUCGUGCCCGCCGACUUCUUAGAGGGAUUUUCGGCGCUCAGCCGCACGAGAUUGAGCAAUAACAGGUCUGUGAUGCCCUUAGAUGUCCGGGGCUGCACGCGCGCUACACUGGCGAAGGCAGCGUGUCUGUCCUGCCGCGAAGGCGGUGGGUAAACCGAUGAAAAUUCGCCGUGAUUGGGAUCGGAGAUUGCAAUUAUUCUCCGUGAACGAGGAAUUCCAAGUAAGUGCGAGUCAUCAACUCGCGUUGAUUACGUCCCUGCCCUUUGUACACACCGCCCGUCGCUGCCCGGGACUGAGCCAUUUCGAGAAAUUUGGGGAUCGGCGGACGGCCGCUUCACGGCGGCCCCCGCUGCCAACCAACUUAAUCGCAGUGGCUUGAACCGGGCAAAAGUCGUAACAAGGUAGC
rnacentral:rRNA from 1 species